rnacentral:rRNA from 1 species
CACGUAGGGUGCGAGCGUUGUCCGGAAUUAUUGGGCGUAAAGAGCUCGUAGGCGGUCCGUCACGUCGGGUGUGAAAUUCCAGGGCUCAACCCUGGACCUGCAUUCGAUACGGGCAGACUGGAGUGCGGUAGGGGAGAAUGGAAUUCCUGGUGUAGCGGUGGAAUGCGCAGAUAUCAGGAGGAACACCGAUGGCGAAGGCAGUUCUCUGGGCCGUAACUGACGCUGAGGAGCGAAAGCGUGGGGAGCGAACAGG